AAACUCCGCUCAGUGAUGUGUGAAAAUACAACACCAAAACAGUUUUCCUGCAAACCACCCAGAGUGCAUGUCAAAUAAGCCAUUCGUGCAGAGCAAGUCACAGUAACUGGUGGUGUAGAGGUAUACAUGCUGGCUUUCCGUACAGGCAACCCUGGUUCAAACCCCGUUCAGUAAUGUGAGAAAAUUCAACACCAAACAGUUACUUUUCCUGCAAAAUCCACCAGAGUGCAUGUCAAAUACGCCUAUCGUGCAGAGCAAAUCAAGGUCCAUGGUGGUGCAGAGGUAUACACGCCGGCUUUCCGUCCAGGCAAUCCUGGUUCACGCCCCGCUCAGUCAUGUGAGAAAACACAACACCAAUUACUUUUUCCUGCAAACCCUCCAGAGUGCAUAUCAAAUAUGCCUACCGUGCAUAGUAUCUCACAGUCACUGGUGGUGUAGAGGUAUACACGCUGGCUUUCCGUCCAGGCAGCGUGGAACACGUCCAGUGACAGCAUAAAUGUCAGUUCCAAUGGCCUAAAGCUGGGAUAGAAUCCAGCAAGUUCCCAGUGACAGUUGUCCAUGUAGAACAGGGGUUUUAGCCCAA